GGGCUUAUAGCUCAGACGGUUAGAGCGCGCGCCUGAUAAGCGCGAGGUCUCUGGUUCGAUUCCAGAUAAGCCCAUCA
rnacentral:tRNA from 1 species